rnacentral:rRNA from 1 species
AUUGAACGCUGGCGGCAUGCCUUACACAUGCAAGUCGAACGUGAAAGGGGGGCAACCCCCGAGUAGAGUGGCGGACGGGUGAGUAACACGUGGGUGACCUGCCCUCAGCUCUGGGAUAAGCCUGGGAAACCGGGUCUAAUACUGGAUAUGACUCCAUGACGCAUGUUGUGGGGUGGAAAGCCUUGUGCGGCUGAGGAUGGGCCCGCGGCCUAUCAGCUUGUUGGUGGGGNGAUGGCCUACCAAGGCGACGACGGGUAGCCGGCCCGAGAGGGCGACCGGCCACACUGGGACUGAGACACGGCCCAGACUCCUACGGGAGGCAGCAGUGGGGAAUCUUGCGCAAUGGGCGAAAGCCUGACGCAGCGACGCCACGUGAGGGAUGACGGCC